AAGCAGGCCUGUUUGAAUGGAAAUAUUCCAACACAGGAGCAAAGGAAGAUGUAGAGCAGGGGUGCCCAAAUAUUUUCCCCCAGAUGGCCAAAACUGAAACUUAAUGGUGGACCACGGGCCAAAAGCAAAACACCCAUCGACCUCAUUCAUACCGCGGCCAUUUUCCUCCAACAUCACGCUCAGGCCAAGCCAGGACAACAUGGAUCACAACCCUGUCCUAGUGACAAGCAUGCUCACAGAUAUGGACCAGCGCAGCAGUACCUCUGGUAGCCGGAGGAGCAGUGCAGCAGUGUAGCCAACA